ACUUUUUAUUGGGACGUUGCCUAUGAUUGGUCUGGGGCAAUUGUUGUUGUGUUUAGUUGAUGUGGUAUCAACAGCAAUUGAACUUUGUAAACGUGGCCGUUUGUGUGUGGGUGGCAGCAGGGCCCUCGAUCCGCAGUGCUCUCUGCCAAACCACCUGCCUGCUGCUGCCCUCCAGUGUACUGGGCCCAGCCCCCAUCCACCUGGACCUGCUUGAGCAUCUGCUGAAGACAGGCUGCACCUGAUGGCCGGGAGGAUGAGUGCCCUGGACGAGAACCAGAGAUGUCACAUAGCUGAGACACUGAUGCUACCCUCUGAGGGAUGGGAAGGGCCUGAGGGCCCUUGUCUUAACUUUGUUCUACAGAAAGAUAACACUGACCUGCUUUGACUCCAUGCUUGAAAGGCAUUGCAGCUGCUGUGCCAUCUAUUUGAUGUCCUGUCUCCUGAUAGUCAUCAUGCCAUUGGACCACAGUAAUCUGAGUGAACCUUAAUUCUAUAGUGCAUUACCAAGAGGGCCAACCUAUUUUCUGGAAUUCUGUGCCAAUCUUUGAUU